UCGGGGGGAUGACGGUACCUGAAGAAUAAGCACCGGCUAACUACGUGCCAGCAGCCGCGGUAAUACGUAGGGUGCGAGCGUUAAUCGGAAUUACUGGGCGUAAAGCGUGCGCAGGCGGUUGUGCAAGACAGGUGUGAAAUCCCCGGGCUUAACCUGGGAACUGCACUUGUGACUGCACGGCUAGAGUACGGUAGAGGGGGAGUGGAAUUCCGCGUGUAGCAGUGAAAUGCGUAGAUAUGCGGAGGAACACCGAUGGCGAAGGCAAUCCCCUGGACCUGUACUGACGCUCAUGCACGAAAGCGUGGGGAGCAAACAGGAUUAGAUACCCUGGUAG
rnacentral:rRNA from 1 species